rnacentral:tRNA from 2 species
GCGAUCGUGGUGAAAUUGGUAGACACGCUAUCUUGAGGGGGUAGUGCCAGCAGGUGUGCGAGUUCGAGUCUCGCCGAUCGCACCA